CCAAGCUUUAAUGUUGUAAAGCAGAUUUUGAGCUGAUCUCCUUCAUUCUGCCACCAGCUCACCACAACCCCUGGGUGCACCAGCUGUGGAAAUUACGGGCCAAACUUUGGACACCCUAGGACAACAUCCUAAGAUGCACCGAUCUACCUAAAGCCCUCCAUCAUUCCCACACCCAUCUUGCAACAAAAUUUCAUUAAGUGCAGUCCAUAACCAGUGUCUGCCAUGCACGGUCUGCACCUUGUCCAUUGCAGAUGUUAUGGAUUAUUCUAUGAGAUCUUUAUAUUCUUUAUGAGAGACUGUUAUGUAGAGACUGUUAUGUUGUGAAUAAAGUCAACCCACCCCCUACAUCGAUGCUUUCAGCAGUUAAUACAUUAAAGUGUGUCCCUAAUGUUUUAUUAUUUAAAGAUUGUUUUAAAGUUUAUUACAGGCUCAGUGAAUUUUCUUUCACUAAAAAAUAAAGUGUAAUAUAAACGGUCAUAA